rnacentral:lncRNA from 1 species
GUGCAGGGGCAAAAUGGUAAUUUUAAAAUUUUUUCAAAAUUACUACUUUACAGUGGAAUUAUUAAUUAAUCUCAUUAAUUAAUACUAAUUAACCCUACACUAGGAUCUAAAUAUGAUACAACAGCAUGGAUUUAAAUUUGAAAUUCAAAUUUGAAUCAGUAAACAUUUUACAGUACUGUGUUCAGAACACAUCACCUUUUGCGGGUAGUCGAUCAUCGCAAUUUGAUCACCGUCGGGGGACUCUGAUCAUCACGUCGCAGCCACACAAAUGUCUGGCCUCUGCGGAUCAUCCACACGAAGCUCCCGUCUGAUCAGCUCCUCACGAAUGCUAGUUCGUGAUUUCACCCUUUUGAUGGCAGAUGUUGAUCGAACUCCUUCGAUCGAUGUGUGCCGACUUCUCGAAUGCUCCGGAUCGUCUGCACAGUUGUUUGAGAGGCUGAUGGAUCUCUCCCUGAAAUUUGAUGGACUCACGACACUCGUGGCACACCAAUCUCACUUCCCGAACCCUAGGUAGAAACCCUAGGGUACACACCAAAAAUCCUGCGCCCAAUUUUCUCUCUUUUCUUUCUUUUUCUCUCGGAAGGUUUUGGACCUUCACCUUGCGCAGAAGCCUUCCUCACGCCCCAAAGUUUCUCUCCUAAAAUUUUCUAUGCACGUCCCACCUUUCUCCUCUUUUUAAAACAACGUCGAACAUGUCUUAUCCGCGUGAGAGGAUAAAGACAAGAGGUUACACAUUUGAAUUCAAAUCAAAUUUGAAUUCAAACGAAAACCAACUUAUCCCUAUCUUUUU